rnacentral:antisense_RNA from 1 species
GGUUUCACCGUGUUAGCCAGGAGAGGUGCCCCAAAUUUCUAAUCCCUUAAGCCAGGACCUUGGUAGCCCUGAGGUGUGAUGGAGACUCUGGACAGGACCACCUGUUGACCUAUCCAGGACCCAAAUAUGCACCACAGCACCAAGGAGUUUCCGGUCCCGGUACAGAUCAGUGAGGAAGAGGCUAUUGACAAGUGUGGAUUUGCCCAGGCCAGACUCUCCUGAGAGGAGAGAGGACAGAGGCACCAAAUCAGAAGGGACCCUUCUCUGGGCUGUCUGAUAGUCUGCAGAGACACAGCUGCUUCUGUGCUCUGGGAGAGAGGGACUCCUUGGAGAUCUGAUCUCACUAGUAGUCGUAAUUCUUUGGAUGGGCUCAGUUUGUACUGCUUCAUCCUUUGGAGAAGGCUCCAGACCCUCCUUUACUCUCCCGAGAUUCUAGAAAUUCUCAGGACUCAUUCAGAGAAGGAAUCAGCCAGAAGAUCCUAUGAAGACAAGAUCAAACCAAACACGCUGUGUUAGCCUCAGUUUUAAUAAGAAAUCUGACUGAAAACAAAUUGUUGAAUGUGCUGCUAACAGAGAGGGCCAAACGAUGAUGUCUAUUGUGGCAGCUGAACAAAGUGAGACUUACAGAACUGUAACUGCUGCCCUGAUA